rnacentral:rRNA from 1 species
UAUGUUGGUUAUUGUGAUAACGUAAGGGAAAAAAAUGAUAUUACCUUACUAUUAGUGUUGUCCAAAACUGGUGCCAGAAGACUCGGUAAGGCCAGAGACGCAAACGUUAGUCGUCCUAAUCAGGCGUAAAGGGUGUGUAGGCUGCUUUCAAAGUCAUAUCUUUCAAAUAGCUCUUAUAACGAAGAUCUGUUUAAAGGCAUAAUACUUUAAAUAUCUUCAUUCUAAGGUAAAGAUAGGAUGAAUAAAAGCUAGAAUCAAAACGAGGAUAAGCCAAAUAAUACUUAGAGUAGGGUCGAUAUCCGUAGAUACUAAGUGGAAUAUUAAAAGUGAAAACUAUUUAUCUAGAAAUGAUUGACGCUGAGAAACGAAGGUGAGAAUAGGAAAUAGGAUUAGAUACCCAGAUACCUCUCACUGUCAACGAUGAAUGGUGGUUUGUUAGUUCGCAGAGGAACUAGUAACGAUGCUAACGCGAUAACCAUUCCGCCUUGCGAGUACGGUUGCAAAACUGAAACCAAAAAAAUUAGUCGGUCUCGAAGCAAACGAAGUGAAGCAUGUUAU